rnacentral:rRNA from 1 species
CGUAGUUGGGAGUCAGAGUGAGCUCAGCUGGUCGGCCUAAUGGGUCAGAACUGGUUGACUCUCUCUUGUUUGUGGGUCUCGCCCGGAGUUAACUCUUCGGAUGUGGAUCCCACAUCGUUUACCUUGAAAAAAUUAGAGUGUUCAAAGCAGGCGUUUGCUUGAAUAUAUUAGCAUGGAAUAAUGGAAUAGGACGCUGGUUCUAUUUUGUUGGUUUUGAGAACCAGAGUAAUGAUUAAUAGGGACAGUUGGGGGCAUUCAUAUUUCAUUGUCAGAGGUGAAAUUCUUGGAUUUAUGAAAGAUGGACUUCUGCGAAAGCAUUUGCCAAGGAUGUUUUCAUUAAUCAAGAACGAAAGUUAGGGGAUCGAAGACGAUCAGAUACCGUCGUAGUCUUAACCAUAAACUAUGCCGACUAGGGAUUGGGCGUGGUUUGUUCAUUGACCCGCUCAGCACCUUACGAGAAAUCAAAGUCUUUGGGUUCCGGGGGGAGUAUGGUCGCAAGGCUGAAACUUAAAGGAAUUGACGGAAGGGCACCACCAGGAGUGGAGCCUGCGGCUUAAUUUGACUCAACACGGGAAAACUUACCAGGUCCAAACAUAGUAAGGAUUGACAGAUUGAGAGCUCUUUCUUGAUUCUAUGGGUGGUGGUGGC